AUUGAACGCUGGCGGCAUGCUUUACACAUGCAAGUCGAACGGUAACAGGCCUUCGGGUGCUGACGAGUGGCGAACGGGUGCGUAAUGCAUCGGAACGUACCCAGAGGUGGGGGAUAACGCAGCGAAAGCUGUGCUAAUACCGCAUGUGAUCUGAGGAUGAAAGCGGGGGACCGAGCAGCAAUGUUUGGCCUCGCGCCUUUGGAGCGGCCGAUGUCGGAUUAGCUAGUUGGUGGGGUAAAGGCCUACCAAGGCGACGAUCCGUAGCUGGUCUGAGAGGACGACCAGCCACACUGGGACUGAGACACGGCCCAGACUCCUACGGGAGGCAGCAGUGGGGAAUUUUGGACAAUGGGCGCAAGCCUGAUCCAGCAAUGCCGCGUGAGGGAAGAAGGCCUUCGGGUUGUAAACCGCUUUUGGCAGGAACGAAACGGUGUCCGCUAAUACCGGGCGCUAAUGACGGUACCUGCAGAAUAAGCACCGGCUAACUACGUG
rnacentral:rRNA from 1 species